UGGGAAUUAAGAAGAAAAGAAUUUGUCAUUAGGGAGAAUUAGUACCGAAUAAUUUUAUUAACUUGUAAAUGGCUCCUCGUUGGGAGGAUUAAAUACAAUCUUUUUAUUAAAGCAGUCUAUGGUGGCGUGAUACGCCGCCAGCCAAUCCAUUCCUAGGAUUACAUCAAAAUCCCCUGUGUCUAACCCUAUCAGGUCUACCCUCAAUUUCCUAUCUGCUAUCUC
rnacentral:lncRNA from 1 species